GAUGAACGCUGGCGGCGUGCCUAAUACAUGCCAGUCGAGCGAACGGACGAGAAGCUUGCUUCUCUGAUGUUAGCGGCGGACGGGUGAGUAACACGUGGAUAACCUACCUAUAAGACUGGGAUAACUUCGGGAAACCGGAGCUAAUACCGGAUGAUAUUUUGAACCGCAUGGUUCAAAAGUGAAAGACGGUCUUGCUGUCACUUAUAGAUGGAUCCGCGCUGCAUUAGCUAGUUGGUAAGGUAACGGCUUACCAAGGCAACGAUGCAUAGCCGACCUGAGAGGGUGAUCGGCCACACUGGAACUGAGACACGGUCCAGACUCCUACGGGAGGCAGCAGUAGGGAAUCUUCCGCAAUGGGCGAAAGCCUGACGGAGCAACGCCGCGUGAGUGAUGAAGGUCUUCGGAUCGUAAAACUCUGUUAAUAGGGAAGAACAUAUGUGUAAGUAACUGUGCACAUCUUGACGGUACCUAAUCAGAAAGCCACGGCUAACUACGUG
rnacentral:rRNA from 1 species